rnacentral:lncRNA from 1 species
AUGAAGCACCAACAGACAGGUAAGAGAUGGCAGGAGAGUCUCCAGCUCCAGAAAGACUCAUCCCAAUGUCACAGGUCAGCGGGCGACCUGGGCAGAGCCCAGGGAGGCCUGCACUUCCCCGGCCGGGGGAACAUCUGCCCAACGGCCGCCGCGCCCUGCUCCGCCCCGUGGGCCGGGCCAGGGGUGCGGCCGGUCAGACCCACGGGAGGCAAGCGCACCGCGCACCACGCACUCCGGCCCCGCCCCAUCCCCGAGGGGCGGAGGGGAGGGGCCACGAACUCGGGCGGCGCGGCACGCUCCCCGCUUCCCUUAGUCCCGCGUGCACGCGCGCGCUCCUCCCAAGUCCCGCGGGGUUUAACAGAGUGCCGACGCCUACGGCGCGCGCAAAGGCCCAGGAGCCGAGGGCGUAGGGUGGCCCGGCAGGGAGAGGGGCGGAGAUGGCGCGAGAGCCAGAGACAACGCGAGACCCGAGGAAGCCGGAAGCUCGCGUGCGCGCCCCCCACCCGUGAGCGGGGAGGCGGAGCCGCAGCACGGGUGGCAGUCCCUGGAGGAGCGGCCAAGGAUGGGAAAAGUGUCAGAGAGGACGGGCAGCCCCGGUUGGACCGGGUCCCUCCCUCACCCAAGCCCACUUUCGCUACUGGCGGUCUUGCUGCCAAAGAAGCAGCGGCGUUGAGGCGUCGGAAGGAUCACGUACCUGACAGGCCCACCUCUCGGGGCUCCAGCGCGAGACGCUCUGCGGCCGCCGCCGCUCGGGAUGCAUUUCGCGGUGGAGUCGGGAAGGGAGGGAGCGGCGACCGGGAACGGAACGCGAAUCGCCCUCUUUCUACCCGCUUCCUCCGAGCCGCCGCCUGGCUCCAGGGGGUGGUUUUGUCAGGCGGCCAGAGUCCCCACCUGGCGCCCCUGCCCUCGCUUCCCAGACCCGGGUCCUCGCGUGCUCCAGGCCUUCCGCGUGCCUUCAUCCGGAACCCCGGGACGGGGGUCAUUAGUUUUCUUUGUCGCCGCCGGAACCGUUUGCGAGCUCCCGUGGCCCCCGCCUUCCCGGAGCCCGGGCAGGGGGCGGCACGGGGACACCGGGGGAGGGGGAGCGGGGGGUGUGGAGGCACCACCGCUGGGCAGCCUUGGCCGCCCGCUCCCCUCCGCCCCGCCUUUGCGUCUCGCUGCUGCCGCCGCCGCCUCCGAUUCCUGUACGGUUACGUUAAGGUCGCAUGA